ACUCUAAUAAUUUAUGAAAACAUCAGUCUUGUAAACCGAAGAAUGAAGGCCGCUCCCCUUCUUAGAGUU
rnacentral:tRNA from 1 species